GAUGAACGCUGGCGGCGUGCUUAACACAUGCAAGUCGAACGGAGUAUAUUUAAAAGCUUGCUUUUGUUUAUACUUAGUGGCGGACGGGUGAGUAACGCGUGGGUAACCUGCCUUAUACCGGGGGACAACAGUUGGAAACGGCUGCUAAUACCGCAUAAGCGCACAGUAUCGCAUGAUACAGUGUGAAAAACUCCGGUGGUAUAAGAUGGACCCGCGUCUGAUUAGCCAGUUGGCGGUGUAACGGACCACCAAAGCGACGAUCAGUAGCCGGCCUGAGAGGGCAAACGGCCACAUUGGGACUGAGACACGGCCCAAACUCC
rnacentral:rRNA from 1 species